rnacentral:rRNA from 1 species
GUAAAUAAUAAAGGGCGUAUGGUGGAUGCCUAGGCUCUCAGAGGCGAUGAAGGACGUGAUAAGCUGCGAAAAGCUCCGUUUAGGUGCAAAUAACCUUUGAUGCGGAGAUCUCCGAAUGGGAUAACCCAAUAUGUUGAAGACAUAUUAUACCGUAAGGUAGGCAAACGCAGGGAACUGAAACAUCUAAGUACCUGCAGGAGAAGAAAACAAACGUGAUUCCCCCAGUAGCGGCGAGCGACCGGGGAUAAGCCCAAACCGUUAUUGUUUCGGCAGUAGCGGGGUAGUAGGACUGCGACAUUGAUGAAAUAAAUGAAAUGGAACACCUUGGAAAAUGUGAUCAUAGAGGGUGAUAAUCCCGUACAUGCAAGUUUAUGAAUCAUAGCAGUAUCCUGAGUAAGUCGGGACACGUGUAAUCCUGACCGAAUCCGCCGGGACCAUCCGGCAAGGCUAAAUACUCCUGAGAGACCGAUAGUGAACCAGUACCGUGAGGGAAAGGUGAAAAGCACUUCGAACAGAAGAGUGAAAUAGUCCCUGAACCCAUACGCCUACAAGCAGUCGGAGCCGCUUCGUGCGGUGACGGCGUGCCUUUUGCAUAAUGAGCCUACGAGUUACUCAUCACCAGCGAGGUUAAGUACUUCAGGUACGUAAGCCGAAGCGAAAGCGAGUCUGAAUAGGGCGUCAAGUUGGUGGUGGUAGACGCGAAACCUUAGUGAUCUACCCAUGGGCAGGGUGAAGGUUUGGUAACACAAACUGGAGGCCCGAACCGGUAAACGUUGAAAAGUUUUCGGAUGACCUGUGGGUAGGGGUGAAAGGCCAAUCAAACUGGGAAAUAGCUCGUACUCUCCGAAAUGCAUUUAGGUGCAGCCUCUGUUGUUUUGUUCUAGAGGUAGAGCUACUGAUUGGAUGCGAGGGCUUCACCGCCUAUCAAAUCCGGCCAAACUCCGAAUGCUAGAACAUGAAGACAGGGAGUGAGCCAGCGGGUGCUAAGGUCCGUUGACGAAAGAGGGAGAACUCAGACCAUCAGCUAAGGUCCCCAAUUAUAUGCUAAGUUGGAAUAAAAACGGGGUGGGACUGCUUAGACAGCUAGGAUGUUGGCUUGGAAGCAGCCACUCAUUUAAAGAGUGCGUAACAGCUCACUAGUCGAGCGGUCCUGCAUGGAUAAUACGCGGGCAUAAGCAUAUAACCGAAGCUAUGGGAUUGUAGAUGAUACAAUCGGUAGGAGAGCAUUCCAUUCAGCAUAGAAGCAGUAUCGUGAGGUAUUGUGGAGCGGAUGGAAAAGCAAAUGUAGGCAUAAGUAACGAUAAUGCGGGUGAGAACCCCGCACGCCGAAAGAUCAAGGAUUCCCCGGCAAUGUCAAUCAUCCGGGGGUAAGUCGGAUCCUAAGGGUAAGCCGAGUGGCGAUCCCGAUGGCAAACAGGUUAAUAUUCCUGUACUGAUCAUAACUGCGAUGCAGCGACGCAGAGGUGACACUGCUGCGUACUGACGGAAUAGUACGUUGAAACCCGUAUUCUUUGAUACCGGUAGUGAAGCACGCCGGUAGAGAUGAAAGGUGAUAGUACCGCAAUGCUUCGGUUGCGCGGAUAACGCAGGUAAGCUGACUGCCAAGAAAACCUGCUAAGCUUCAGGUAAUGAUCAUCCGUACUGUAAACGGACACACGUGAUCAGGUAGAAAAUACUAAGGCGCUCGAGAGAUUCAUGGUUAAGGAACUAGGCAAAAUGGUCCUGUAACUUCGGGAUAAAGGACGCUCUUGUGAAAGAGCCGCAGAUAAUAGGCCCAGGCGACUGUUUACCAAAAACACAUGGCUAUGCUAAUUCGCAAGAAGAUGUAUAUGGCCUGACACCUGCCCGGUGCCGGAAGGUUAAGAGGAGAGCUCAGAGGUAACUCGAAGGUUUGAAUUGAAGCCCCGGUAAACGGCGGCCGUAACUAUAACGGUCCUAAGGUAGCGAAAUUCCUUGUCGGGUAAGUUCCGACCUGCACGAAUGG